GCCUUUCAAUGAGAUUACUUAUAAACUGUGAUUUUCAUGCAAUUUGCAACUUUCCCAUUGUGCCAUGCGCCACAUAGGGUGUGAAGUGUAGUUUAGUAAGUUAUUUUUCUAAGUAGCGUUUUGUUUUGCAUAAUAUUUGAAGUGGAUUUUUGUUCACAAUUAUAUGAUUGUGUCCAAAUAUUAGAUUUAACCAAUUGUGUAUGAAUAACAAUAUGUAUUAUUUUGAAUGAAUGAGGAAUAAAUGUAUCUAUAAUUAUAUAUAUAUCAGACCUUGAUGCCUGGAAUAUAAAUGUAUGUGCCCAUUUUAUACCCUCACCAAUCAUGUAACUUAUUGGUUUACCCUAAAUUUAACUGAGGUGAAAAAAUGCAAGAUGUUUGUGAAAUAUAUGCAUUAAAAGUAAUCAUUUUCAUAGUUUUAUGUAAAGUAUUGUGUGCAUAUUAUUGUGGGGCUGGUGGCAAAGCUUUAGUGAUCAUGCCAUACCUUUAUGGGUAGUCAUGGUAUUUUAACACCCCAUAGAAGUGGUACAUAGGCAACAUUUCUGCCUGCUUGCAUCACAAUGGUCCUUGUCCAUGUUUAUUUUCUACCUAUUUAAAAGAAUUGACAUAAGUUGCCCAACCUUGCCCAAAUUCUUUAACAUGUUUAACAAGGCUUAAAAUUUGUACCUGCUUUUAAGAUUUUUUAUCAGAGUGAUUUUUUAGGGGGUUUCCCCAUACUAAAAUUUUUUACGUAGCUAGUUCUGCUUAUAGAGUUUGCACCUCAGUUGUUAUACACAUCUUCAAUGAAAACUUGUAAAUUUUUGUUGACUGCUAUUUUUAACCUAAUAAUGAUAUAUUAAAGCUAUCCCCACA
rnacentral:lncRNA from 1 species